CACCCCUGGGCUAGUCUCUCUUCUGGCUUCCAUCUCCAGAUCAACAGGCAAGUGGAGAGAACUAACCAGGUUCUCGAUGAGUCUACCCAUCAACCUGGAGCUCUCCGUUGUCCUGGAUCAGAAUCAAGCGGAAGAACAAGUAUCUGGCUGACUUCCACCAAAAACCUUCACUGAGCUACCUUCCAACUAUAGCCUGUUCGGUUCAGUCCAUUUUACGCACAGUUUAGAGUCUUGGUCACAAGUGUAGGAAGAAAUGAGCAAGAUACUGACAUGCUGAUCAAUGAACCAUCUGCAACGAUAUACAAGCUGAAUAGUGCUGGUGAAUAAACAUUCCUCACCUCACUUAUAUGGACAUGGGCUACUGAACUGCUGCUUAAGUGAUCUCUUUGGAGGAGGUGAUUGGAUUUCUGGAUCAGUGGUGGAUCUGACAGUGAGAUUGGGUGAAAACAUAACUCUGUAUUGUGACUCUACAAAACCACCUGAGGAAUAUAUUGUGUGGUACAGAAAUUGUACCCAUGAAAAUCAGCCUCCUCUUGUCCUAAAACUAACAAAGGAUUCGUGGAAACCCAUCUGUAACCGAGCAACUUUAGUGAAUUCUCUACCUCGCUUCCACUUUGUAAACAACCAGUCCUCUGGAUCGUAUGACCUGCUGAUUGUGAAUAUUUCUGAUUCUGAUGAGGGCCUCUAUUACUGUGGAACUGAGCAGAAACAGCUACAGGAUAAAAAGGAUAUUAACCUUGAAUUUGUUCAGAGUUAUGGCAGUGUGGCGACAAGGAUUAAAAUCAAUUUCAGUGAUCCACAUUCUUCAAUUUUAACUGGUCAAACAUCUCCACAAGACUGCGGCAUGUGUUGGAAACUGCUCUUCAUCCUGUGUCCAACUUUUGCAGCUCUCUCCUCUCUUGUCUCUCUUCUUGUUCAUUACCUCUGCCAGAAAACAGAAGUUGAUCAACAAAGACCAGAAACCAGUGGGAAAACAAGAAGAACUCAGGAUGAAGAUGUGCUUUAUGCUACAGUGGAAACACGUCAAGCAACAGAGCGAUCCAAGAAGAAGAUAACCUAUAGUUCUGACUUAUGCACCUAUUCUACUGUCAAGACCUCUGGGGUCUAGAUUUUACAUUCAAAAGUGCAUUAUGAAUUAAUCAGAAGUCAUUAAGUUUUUUGCUUUUGCCAUUUUUCCUCUACCUAUCAAGCUUAGUAAUAAUUAUAAUCGUCUAUUUCUUCUUCAGUGAGCUGCUUGGUUUAGAUGAUAUUUAAAGGUAUAUAGUCAGACAUUUUUUUUAUUAUUUUAUGCAAAAAAUAUUGUUCUUGUAAUUUCCGACAGACUGAUGUAUCAUCAUUAAUCCAUUAAAAAGACAUAUGAAAAUACAUGAGUGCUUGUGAAAGCUCCCAUGUUGCCCUGCCAUCAUGAAUAGUGCCUGUGAUGAAAAUCACCUUUCUGCCUAAUCACAUUUUAUGUAUGUGGCUAGAGACUGGUCUCAUAUGCUGUAUGCCAAAAACAGAAGACAGGACACCUCACAGGCAUUUGUGUGGAGACAAAUUUCAAUUUCGGCUUGUUUCAUCAUGUCUGUGUUUUUUCAUUUGAGUAGGGGUCCCAUUCAUCAAAGAAGCAAAUGCACAAAGAAAAGAG